CAAGAACGAGAUAUUCCUCUAUUUCCACCACGCUGGCUGCAGGAGCUGAAGCAACGACUUGGCCUUUGCCUUCCCAAGAUAUCUACCAGGGAAACCAGCCGUGAACUAGCACCAGCUGACAACUUAAACAGGAGGUACUCUGGUUUCCUCCCACAUUCCAAAGGCAGGGACAUUGGGACGUUUAUCAGCCAUUGGAAAUUAUUGUGUAGCUGUUCUUCAUUCAAGUUAGUGGACCCGCUGUUCUCAUACCAGGUGUGACCUGAACUGUGCUCAGCAGACAGAUUUCCCAGCAUUGGCGAUUGGAGUCCUCUGCAAAUUUGCUCACUGAUGCUGGACUCCAUGAACCGGCCAUUGUUGGAGGAGAGUUGGAAAAGUUGCUGGUGAAGAAUGGCUAAGAAGUUCAGGGAUUUUCCCUGGGGAGAAAAGAUCGCAAACUUGGCAGCACUUGAAGAGUUAAAUGCUGGCAGUUCCAUGCUAUGUCAAAUAAAUCCAUCUCUGAAUUCUUUACACCCCAAAUUGAUAAAAGUGAAACAUGAA